GUGAACCGAAUCCAUGCCAUGAGACUUCUAGGUUGGAAAAUUUAGGGUAAGAAUCUUCAGCCAGAAACACGAUUCGAAACUCCCCUCCUCAAAUUGAUUUCGCGCUCAAUCACCUCAAGAAAUCCAGAAAUCGCUAUACUCGUUUUAAUGGAGAAUCAAGAGCAAAACUCAAAUCCGCGUUCGAGCUCAAUCAUCGAAUCACAAUCAAACAACAUGAAUUUGAACUGAAAUUGAACUCUUACUCUCGUUCUUUCACAUGGAUAAGCAAAUGGAAAAGAAAGACUUACUUGGUUUGAUGUAGAGGCAUGAAUUUCGUUCGCCGACGUCUUUACGGAUUCGCACUCGUGCGCGUCGGAUGAUGAUGACGAUGUCCUGCUAAUUAUUGGUCGAGGUGAAGACGGUGAAUGAUUUAGGGAAAAGGGCGUCGAGCAGCUAAUCGAAAUUCGCCGGGCGCAACCUCAUUGCGAUUCCCGUGGACUUUCACUAAUUGGCGGAAUCGGAGCAUCCAGCGAAUUCGGUUAGGGAGUGUCCGGUUCUGUUUUGGAGGCUCCUCCCUCGCGACUCAGGAAUUAGCUCCCUUCGCCUCCAUCAAGAUGCUUCUCUAUCUUCUUUCCAAUCGCAAGGUGCAACCUUGUGCGGAUUGAAUCCGAUGCCAGUGAAAAGAGGGAUUAUGUGACUCUGUUAGGUAGGAACAAAGUGAAGAUGAAAUGGAGUCAUCCUGCAGAAUGCAGUUUCCGAAGGUUGAAGUGUGAAGGGAUUGAAGGUUGGUGAAGAUGGCGGUGCAGUGUAAUUUGAAGUCAUGGGAUUGUGCUCUUGACUAUGAAUCAAGAGGAAUGAUGGUGAAGAAUGAAGAGGGAGAAUAGUGAAGAAUGAAGGUGAGGAAUUUUGGAGUGAAAAUGAAGAUGAUGAUUUGAAGAAAGAUUGGAGAAUUUGAAGAAGUGAUUGAAGCCCCUUGAAUUGAGGAAGCAGACAGGAUGGCACGGUUUCGCUGCAGGCGUGGCGAGUGUUUGGUUUCGGAGGCUGUUUGGAUUUUGUAGCGUGACCGGAUACAGGGUAACAUAUAAGCAAAGUCCGCACUGCCUGUUGCAGGUCUGGUCUUCGCAUCCCGGUUGUGUAUGAUGAUGCCGGUUCCUGUGUUUUGCAAUGCUUUUGCUGUUUCGUUAUAUAGAGAGAGGUUUUUUCCAUUAGAGUCUCUCUUACGUGAAGCAUUUUCGGCUAAAGCCGCAGCAACCCGAGAGGAAUGGUCACUAGCAUCCAUUGGAUUCAAUGAGAUGGCGAGUGAACUCAAAAGGAGUGAAGCAUCGGGAAAUUUCUCCACUGUAGGGGAAGAUGAAUGUGGUCUAUUAUUUAUAUCAUUUUUUAUAAGUGUUUAUGUUUAAAUGGAAUGUUUAUGGUGUGCUUCAUGAAUGAGUUUUGUAUGGUUCUUUCAAUGCUAUGGACAGCCUGGCAUAAGGCAGCGCAAAACCACAGCCACCGAACUUCACAUAGUGAGAAAUAAAGGACACGAGGUUAUUCUGGUAUUAAUCUGGAACUGAGAUGAUGGAUGAAUUUGGUAUAAUAUGGUUUGAAUUUUUAAUGGGUUUGGUUUAAAUUAUGAGUGGAUAUUGAAUUAAUUUGAUUUUGUAUUUUGUUGCAAUAGUGCAAUGUGAAACAAAUAGAAUUUAGAAAUAGAAUGGAUUUGCAAAUGA